UGAAUACGAGACGCUACGGCGUUGAAGCAGUGUAUGUCAUACUUCCAAGAAAAGCUCGCAAGGUCAUAAACAAAUAAUGCCUGUACCAUAACCGACACAGGUGGGUAGGUAGAGUAUACUAAGGGGCGCGAGAUAACUCUCUCUAAGGAACUCGGCAAAAUGACUCCGUAACUUCGGGAGAAGGAGUGCCUUAUUCUAUAAGGUUGCAAUAACAAGAUCCAAGCAACUGUUUAUCAAAAACACAGGUCUCCGCUAAGUCGUAAGACGAUGUAUGGGGGCUGACGCCUGCCCAGUGCCAGAAGGUUAAAGAAGUUGGUUAGCUAUUGCGAAGCUGAUAACUGAAGCCCUGGUGAACGGCGGCCGUAACUAUAACGGUCCUAAGGUAGCGAAAUUCCUUGUCGGGUAAGUUCCGACCCGCACGAAAGGCGUAAUGAUUUGGAUACUGUCUCAGAGAGGGGCUCGGUGAAAUAGACUUGUCUGUGAAGAUGCGGACUACCUGCACCUGGACAGAAAGACCCUAUGAAGCUUUACUGUAACUUGAAAUUGAAACUGGACUUUACUUGCGCAGGAUAGGUGGGAGGCAUUGAGAAUAUUCUUGCGGGAAUAUUGGAGCCAUCGUUGAGAUACCACUCUUGUAAUGUUAGGUUUCUAACUUGGUAUCAUGAUCUGGUCCAAGAACAGUUUCAGGCGGGCAGUUUGACUGGGGCGGUCGCCUCCUAAACGGUAACGGAGGCGUACAAAGGUUUCCUCUGAACGGGUAGAAAUCGUAUCUAGAGUGUAAAGGCAUAAGGAAGCUUGACUGUGAGACCUACAAGUCGAGCAGGGACGAAAGUCGGUCUUAGUGAUCUGACGGUGCUGAGUGGAAAGGCCGUCACUCAACGGAUAAAAGUUACUCUAAGGAUAACAGGCUGAUCUCCCCCAAGAGUUCACAUCGACGGGGAGGUUUGGCACCUCGAUGUCGGCUCAUCGCAUCCUGGGGCGGUAGUACGUCCCAAGGGUUGGGCUGUUCGCCCAUGAAAGCGGUACGCGAGCUGGGUUCAGAACGUCGUGAGACAGUUCGGUCCAUAUCCGGUGUAGGCGUUAGAAUAUUGAGAGGAGCCUUCUUUAGUACGAGAGGACCGAGAAGGACACACCUAUGGUGUACCAGUUAUCGUGCCAACGGUAAACGCUGGGUAGCUAUGUGUGGAGAGGAUAACCGCUGAAAGCAUCUAAGUGGGAAGCCCACCUCAAGAUUAGUAUUCUC
rnacentral:rRNA from 1 species